rnacentral:rRNA from 1 species
GCACCACAAGAGCGUGGAGCAUGUGGCUUAAUUUGACUCAACACGGGAAAUCUUACCGGGUCCGGACGUAUCGAGGAUUGACAGAUAGUUAUACAUGCCCUACAAGCAAGUAGGAGUCAGGUUUUAAACCUAAUGGCUCUUUCAUGAUUAUAUGAUAGGUGGUGCAUGGCCGUUCUUAGUUCGUGGAGUGAUCUGUCUGCUUAAUUGCGUUUCAAAUUUUUAACCGAGGACCGGGUUUUGGUUUGGCUAGUGGUCCUACGAUGACUGUGAACUGUCAUGUCUUCGGAUGUACGACUAUCGGUCUAGGAUCACAUGACUUGCCCCUGGGACUCUUUUGAACGCAACGGACGUGAUUGCAACCCCUUGUUGAGAUUAGAGAUAGUCUCGAUAUUCACUGGCCAAACUGGCUGCUUUAUGCAGUCUUGUUGAAUGGUGGAUAAACUCGGGGGACUGCUGACUAUAACCAUU